AACGUAGGUGGCGAGCGUUAUCCGGAUUUACUGGGUGUAAAGCGCGUGCAGGCGGUCUGAUAAGUCGGGCGUGAAAUCUCUCGGCUCAACCGAGAGAGGUCGUCCGAUACUGUCGGACUUGAGGGCAGUAGAGGAAGGUGGAAUUCCCGGUGUAGUGGUGAAAUGCGUAGAGAUCGGGAGGAACACCAGUGGCGAAGGCGGCCUUCUGGGCUGCCCCUGACGCUCAGACGCGAAAGCUAGGGGAGCGAACGGG
rnacentral:rRNA from 1 species